CUUUUCAACAAUUUACAGUGAACAUCGGCAGCAUUUCUUCUCCCGCUCCAUCGCCAUUACCGCAACCUCCAAGCUCAAUUGCAGUCGCACCUAUAGGAUCUAGUCAGGUAGCACCCGGGCCAGCUCAGGCAUUGCCACCGUCUUCUGCAAUGGCACCGGCGGGAUCCAUUGCCGCCACCUUGACCGCGGUGGCAGCAGCAUUGGUGGUGGUGUUUUGAGACAGGGUUGGAGAAUUGUGUUUGUGAUGUUUGAUCAUAGUAGUAUAGUGGUAUAUUUAGUAGGUGGUGUUUGUCUGGUAUUAGCUGGAAUUAUUGUCGUAAGGGAGAAAACAGGGUAUUAAAUUGGUGUCAUAUGCCUGCAGGUUUUGAGUCUGAAUGAUUAUGGAUGGGGACAUGAUUGCUGGUUUCAUAUUUGUUCUUUCCUUCUUUCCUUUUUCACAGCUCUAAAUACAUUAUAGCCCAACAAGAAUUACAACUCAAUUAAGAUUGUUGCCAAUAGGAUAUUGGAGAAACAGUCCAAUGCCAGGGGCCCAGACCAUAACACUGUAUUUUUUGUACUAUAACACUGCAUUCUUACAAUAGACCAGUAUAAGUUACACCCAAGAUCAGAACAAAACACAAAAACAAAUGUCAAUAAAGCAUUACAAGCAAGAUCAUGUAUACAUACAAUUUCCUCAUUAAUAAUUUGAAAAAAAAAAAAAAAAAAAAAAAAAAGCAAACAUUUGUGAUAUUGUCUGUUGUUUUCUCAAGGCUCCAUUUUCGGGGCAAGCGCGGUGACCGCGUCUGCAACCGUGAGGAAAAUCUUGUCUUCUCCAAUCACAUUUGCAAGACCAGAGGUGUGAAGUUUGUCCAUCACCUUAUGCCCUGGAUUUGCCAGAAUAAGCUGUUCGACAACCAAAAAACAUAGAUUUGUGUAGGUCUUCAACGGCGUGAAUGCCACCGGUGUCUAUAUCAAUAACAGCUGCAAGAAAAUCGGUUUCAGUCUCACUAUCAGCUUAGUCUUUUUGUUAAACGGGCCGGGCCAA